AUCUGGGCGGCGGAAUUCAGAAUGGCCGGCGUGCUCUCGCGGUGCGUCGGUCGUUUGAUAUUUCCGUCGCCAAUUUCGCAGACGUCGCGACCUGUUCGCGGUCGGUCCCUGCUCGGAGGAGCCGCGUUCGAGCUCGUUGUGUGCRCGUUUCGGCGUGUCACACGGCGAAGGCGCGGAUCUCUGGCUGGCCGUCGGACAGUAUGCUUAACGGUGUCCGGUGUCGUCGUCUCGUACGCGCGGCGCCGGUACCGGUCAGCGACGAAUUCUUCGGGCCUCUUUCCGACCCGUCUUGAAACACGGACCAAGGAGUCUAACAUGCGCGCGAGUCGCGGGGUAUCGAGCGUACUUCGGUGCGUUCGUUAUGUUGCGAAACCCGUACAUGUCGAAGGCGUAAUGAAAGUGAAUGGGGAAGAUGGUGUUCCGAGUUCACGUUCCGCGAUCGCUGGUAUCGCGGCCGGACACCCGCACUCCCGGGGCGUCUCAACGGCCCGUCGCUGAUGCGGACAGUCGUCUCUCGGGGCGGCUGUCGGUCGGCGACGAACCGA
rnacentral:rRNA from 1 species